rnacentral:piRNA from 1 species
UACAUAGACAUGCACAUCGAUCAAAGGAU